ensembl:lncRNA
GUACUCAUCGGGGCCUGGGUGCCUAUUUCUAAGCAAACUUGGGACCCUUCAGAGUUAGCAAGCCCACUUUUCUCCCUGUGGCCACUGCCUAUUUAAGGCUAUGUGUCCCAUCUGGUGUUCAGAAGGGACACUCCCUUCCCCUGGCCCUUCUUGCCUGUGGCCACCGUCCAGCCUCUUCCCUCAGGUCUUGCUGGAUCCUCCUAACCCUGUCGUCUUCCCAGGCCCAGGUGGCAUUGGCUGCCAGCUGUCGCCACCCCAAGGUGCCUCGCCACCAUUCCUUCACCAGGAUUUGCCUGAUGGUCCAGUGGAUAGGAAUCUGCUUGCCAACACGAGGGACAUGGGUUUGAUCUCUGGUCAGAGAAGAUUCCACAUGCCUCAGGACAACUAAGCCCAUGGGCCACAGAACUAUUGAGCCCACGUGCCCCAGAGCCCAAGUUCGACAAGAGAAGCCACAGCAAUGAUAAGCCUGUAUGACACUCCUACAGAGGAGCUGGCCUCAGCAAUGAAGACCCAUCACAGCCAAAAAUAAAUAGGAAAAUAAAGUUGUUUAAAAAAAAAAAGCUUCCACUCCCAUGACCAUUGUCUGAGGUUCAACAGCAGGAGUUUAUCAAAGAAGGGGAACAUCCAGCUAAGACUAGUACCUCAGAAGGUUUAACAGAAGGUUAGAAACACACCUAUUUUAAGGUUUGCAGCCUAAAUGUCACAUAGGAAUAAAAAGGAACCCCAGUGAAGGACUCCUCACAUAGAAUUCCAUCACAAAUUAAUCACAGGUUAUCAUAAGU